rnacentral:rRNA from 1 species
AUGCCUCUUGGUGCCCGCAGCCGCGUCACCGGUGUUCCUCCUCAACGCUGCCGCCUCGAACCUCCUCCGUGCGCCAAGUCCCGCCACGGCCAUCACCUCCCCGACGCCCUUGCUGCUGCUAGACCACCUCGAUGCCACCAGGGAGUGCCAUGGCCUCCACCGAGAACCUUGGAAUCGGCAAGACCACACGGACGCUCGAACGACUACACACUGAAACGUCAAAGUACCUCGUCAAUACGUGUACGACUACCGUCGCCGCGAAGACCGCGAGUUCAACUACUUCCACAACGCGUCGUGUACGACUACCGUCGCUUGGGUUCGACAAGACGUCGAGUACCACUACGUUGGCCAAGUACACCUUCGUCAAGACCGAUGCCCGAACAAGCACCGUUUCCAUGGAUUGCGUCAAGUACCUCUACCGACGACCCCUAA